rnacentral:rRNA from 1 species
ACUCAAAUGAAUAGACGGGGGCUCACACAAGCGGUGGAGUAUGUGGCUUAAUUCGAGGCUACGCGCAGAACCUUAUCCCGGGCUUGACAUGCACGGAUUAGCCGGCGGAAACGUCGGUGACGCCGCGAGGUGGAACGUGCACAGGUGCUGCAUGGCUGUCGUCAGCUCGUGCCGUGAGGUGUUGGGUUAAGUCCCGUAACGAGCGCAACCCCUGCCCCUAGUUGCCAGCGGGUCAUGCCGGGAACUCUAGGGGGACCGCCGGCGUCAAGCCGGAGGAAGGCGGGGAUGACGUCAAGUCCUCAUGGCCCUUAUGCCCGGGGCUGCACACGUACUACAAUGGGCCGGACAGAGCGACGCCAACCCGCGAGGGCGCGCCAAUCGCAAAAACCGGCCCCCAGUUCGGAUUGCGGGCUGCAACCCGCCCGCAUGAAGCCGGAAUCGCUAGUAAUCGCGGAUCAGCAUGCCGCGGUGAAUGGGUUCCUGAGCCUUGUACACACCGCCCGU